AUGUUUAAGCUCAGCAACAACCAAAGCCUCAUAAAUGGUUUUGUUUCACAAAAUCAGAUUCAAGUGUUCACAAAAAUAACAUCACGAUUCAGCAAGUAUGCAAAGUUCACGGUUCUGUCAAAACAAGAAAGCAUAGCAGAAAAUUGUGCAGCCCAAACAACAAACAGAAACAUACUGCUAUUCAAGAACUAUUCGUAA